AUUGCUUCUCAGACUUGGCUAAGAUCAAGUGUAGUAUCUCUUCUUAUCAGUUUAAUAUGUCCUCUAUCCAAGGACAAUAUAUUAAAUGGACUUUGGGAGCAGGGAGUUGGAACAGGAGCUUGUUCCAUCCACCCUGCACAUCGACCUGGUAUGGCCAUACUUCCAGGGACGGCGCCCUCCGU